rnacentral:rRNA from 1 species
GUAUAAGAGACAGCAGCAGCCGCGGGAAAACGUAGGGUGCGAGCGUUAAUCGGAAUUACUGGGCGUAAAGCGUGCGCAGGCGGUUAUAUAAGACAGAUGUGAAAUCCCCGGGCUCAACCUGGGACCUGCAUUUGUGACUGUAUAGCUAGAGUACGGUAGAGGGGGAUGGAAUUCCGCGUGUAGCAGUGAAAUGCGUAGAUAUGCGGAGGAACACCGAUGGCGAAGGCAAUCCCCUGGACCUGUACUGACGCUCAUGCACGAAAGCGUGGGGAGCAAACAGGAUUAGAGACCCCCGUAGUCCCUGUCUCUUAUAC